CCCACCUCUGCCACCAUGUCAGCCCCCCCCGAGGUACAGAUGUGGGGACCCGCAUGGGUCUACGACUUUGCCCUGAUUGUGAGCUCCACUGGGAAAAGUGGAGCAAAGUUGAUAAAGUGUCACAAUAGCCUACAACAAUAGAUGUUGAUGGAAAAAAAAUGCAAAAGGGAGACAGAUUGAAUGAGUCCAAACCCAAAGGCCUCCUCAAAGAGUGUUAAAAAUCACACCUGCCAAGACUGUAUCUUUUACAACACUGCUGUAAGCCUGUGACCAGGGAGGCAGCUUAGCAAUGGCCAGAACAACAGAGGCUAGCCCGGACUCGGGCUGGAUGGACGACAGGGCGCUGAACCCCUGGGAAGGUGGAGUCCCUGACUCGGGCUGGAUGGACGACAGGGCGCUGAACCCCUGGGAAGGUGGAGUCUCACCUGGCCCAACAGCAACCCUAUCAACAGGCUCGCUCUCUUCCUUCGCUGCAAAGGUGUGGUUGAGAUGCAGGACUAAUGGAGGGGAAGCAGAGAAAAUAGGGGGCUUUAUGUUAACAGGACAAUCAGGGGGGCUUGGAAUGGGGAGCUGGCUGGGCCUCCAGAGUCCAAGCAACUGGAGCUAUGCUGGUAUACGGUGUGUAGACGCAGAGAGAAGGGGGUUUUCCCUCACUGUAGGAACACCACUUCCCUAGGUCAACGGAAAGGUUCUUCUGCUGCCCUGGCUGUGUCUACGCUAGGUCAGAUUUUUCACUCCCCUGAGCGAUGAAGAAACGUCAGCCUCAGUUUUAUGUAUAGACCAGGCCUCAGCGUUGGUAGCUCCGCUAGAUCUCUCCCGCACUGAAAACCACAGGCCUGUGGCUGUUAAUGCUGCAGGAGAAUCUCCCUUAGCUAGCAGCAGUAUUAAAGCUUUUAUCCUCUU